rnacentral:lncRNA from 1 species
GAAUAUUCCCUCUUGGUUUCCAGGGAACUCGGCUCACGUGGGCUUCGGCUGCAAAGGGGAGAUGGCCAUCAUCUCUCAGGACAGGACCGUGCAGGGACCUCAAGUGUGUAGAGCCCAGGGUGCCCGCUGGGGGACAAGGUGGGCAGCGAGAAACAACCUGCAGAAGGUCGCAGAGGUGGGCCCCCACGUCCACCGUCAGGUGCCAGCUCAUGGCACACUUUGACAGAGCCGCCAUGCUGGGAAGUCCCCGGUGGGCAUUCCCAGGAACCCAGGGGGGGCAUCCAGACAAUAGCCAGCAAGGAGCCAAGAGCCUCAACUGAGCAGCCUCCAAGACUGAAGUCUGCAGCAACCACAGGAGCUUGGAGGCAGACCCUGCCCUUCUGGAACCGUCCAUGGAGACCCCAGCUGCAGCUGAUCCCUCAAGGACAACCUGACCAAAGACCUUGAAUUAGAGGUGGUGGCUGCACUAUGCCCAGGCCCCCGACUGCAGGGCUGGGAGAUGAUAAUGGCCUCAACAGGCAAUCUGUGGGGAUUUGUUACGCAGCAAUAGCUGACAAAUACAGCUUGGACGGGCCUGGGAAGGGAGAUCCCGCCGUGCACCAUGCUGUUGCUGACACACUGUGGUUCUCGGUAACAGAGGAGCUGCUGGGACAGUCCCAGGUGUCCCACAGAAGCCGCUGAGGUCUCUGGGAGGGGGCAAAUGGUGUCCUGUAGUGCAAGUAGCAGCAGGAGUGGGGAACUGAUGGGGCUCCAGUUCCUGAAGUAGCAACAGCCUCAUUUCUUUUAGAACUGGCCUCCUUUCACUCAGUGACAGUCACUUAUGACCAAUGGGCGGAGUCCCCUCACCCACUCUCCUACACGAUCUGGUUCUCAGAGACCUGGACAGGGAGUCCUCUGGCCAGUUCUAAACCAUAGAUUCCCUGUCCUUCCCGCCUAUGGACGUCACUUCUGGCAGGACGGGGUGCUGCGGUGCAGGGGGCUCUCCUCCCUGGGGAGUGUGGAACGUCUGGUUCCCGAUGCAGAAAUCAAACCUGUGCUUUAGACCGCACAAAUGGAAGGACACCGGGCCCCCUAUCCACACGUCCACAUCGGUGCACAGACUCGGCGUCUGGACAUGGGCUCCGGGUGCAGCUGCCCGAGCCCUCUGCAUCCUGGACAGGGGAGUUGGGGAAACGGGCCAUCUGAAGGGAGGCUGGAUUCCUGAGCCCCGUCACCAUAGCAACAGACUCCGCUGCUUCUGGGAGGCAGGACCGGGAGGCUGUUACAUAAGAGCCAACUCCUUCAUGGCAAAAGGAGAAAGAAAAGUGGGGGACACCUAAGCUGCUGGAAAAAAAAGGAACAGGAGCCGAAGAAAAGGGCCGCGGCUGGCCAGAGGGGACAGGGCCUCAGGCUCCUCGGGAGAGGAGCACCCGGGUCUUUCCGUGGGAGCAGCUUCGUGGCGCAGGAUGGCUGCUGCCGGCUUGGGCAAGUAGGAGGUGCCCAGCAGAGAACGUGGACGCAGCCCCCGGGGGACCUGCCUGGCAGAGGUGAGGACAACAGAGAGCACGUGGCCGGGUGGCCAGAGCCAGCCUGGUGGAGGGACCUCAGAGUGGAGGCCUGGGCCCCCAUGGGGCGCCGCAGCUGCCGCUGUCCUCCGAUUUCCCCCGCAUCCUGGGAAGCUUUUCCUUGGCAGGAAGAGAAGUUGAAGGCUCGUCUCCCCCCAGCGUCAGAAAUCACACCCCUGACCCUAAAAGGCUUGGGCUGAAACUGGGUGGGGGGGGGAGGGGCUGCCUUCUCAGGGCUCAUUUCCACGGUGUGGCAGCCUCCAGCCCCGGCCUCCUGCCUGGCCUCCCUCUUCCAGAGCCUCUCUGGCCUUCCUCUGGUGGGGCCUCCCCAGGAGGGCUGGAGUCCUGGGAGUCCACUGGACCCGGGGUGCACCCAUCAGAGCUCCAAGCACCUCACUUCUGGACUCCACCUGGACACCUCCCUGUCUGAGUGGCCCAGGACGCAUGUGGAAGACCAAACUGGCCGGCCAGUGUGUGGCCUAGGGCAGCCACGUGCAGGGCCUGGGGGUGGAGCAUGGGCGCAG